ACCAGACUGGUCGCCAUACUGUUAAGGCCGACUAGUCAAGUUCCUUAAUCAAAUUUCAUUCUAAUUUAUUCUAAUUUUAACUUUAGUCUGUUUCUAAUGUUCGGUUCGGUGAUCUUGAGGAUGUUCACUUUUGAUUUGACGAGUAAGCUACACGACAGUGGAACUAUAAAACUAAAGCAAUCCGACCAGUUUAUUAGGAAGAGAAUCAUCCAUCUCAAUUACAAACGGAUGUGAUCGCUGCCGUGAGAUCUCCAAGAUGAUAUAAAGAAAAUAAAUUGAUGCCAGUUUCGAAC